rnacentral:SRP_RNA from 1 species
CCGCGCAGCCGGGGAGAUAGCGGUGCCCUGUACCUGCAAUCCGCUACAGCAGGGGUCAUGCCGAACCGAGGCCGUUCUGUUGUGGAGCUGCCCUUUAUAAGUGAUGUUGACGUCUGGGUCUUGCGCAACAGGAAUCUGUGAACCGUGUCAGGUCGGGAACGGAGCAGCACUAAGCAGAACCUUCUGUGUGCCGCAAGGCAGCCUGGGCUGAGUUAACUGUAAAGGUAACGUUCAUGGCAGGCGGUCGAAGGGAGGCGCGCGG